rnacentral:rRNA from 1 species
GCGUGAAUGAUGAAGGCCUUAGGGUUGUAAAGUUCUUUCACCUGUGACGAUAAUGACGGUAGCAGGAGAAGAAGCCCCGGCUAACUCCGUGCCAGCAGCCGCGGUAAGACGGAGGGGGCUAGCGUUGUUCGGAAUGACUGGGCGUAAAGGGCGCGUAGGCGGUUUUUUAAGUGAGGCGUGAAAGCCCUGGGCUUAACCCAGGAGGUGCGUUUCAUACUGGAAGACUUGAGUACGAGAGAGGUAAGUGGAAUUCCUAGUGUAGAGGUGAAAUUCGU